GAUGAACGCUGGCGGCGUGCCUAAUACAUGCCAGUCGAGCGAACGGACGAGAAGCUUGCUUCUCUGAUGUUAGCGGCGGACGGGUGAGUAACACGUGGAUAACCUACCUAUAAGACUGGGAUAACUUCGUGAAACCGUAGCGAAUACCGGAUAAUAUUUUGAACCGCAUGGUUCAAAAGUUAAAGACGGUCUUGCUGUCACUUAUAGAUGGAUCCGCGCUGCAUUAGCUAGUUGGUAAGGUAACGGCUUACCAAGGCAACGAUGCAUAGCCGACCUGAGAGGGUGAUCGGCCACACUGGAACUGAGACACGGUCCAGACCCCUACGGGAGGCAGCAGUAGGGAAUCUUCCGCAAUGGGCGAAAGCCUGACGGAGCAACGCCGCGUGAGUGAUGAAGGUCUUCGGAUCGUAAAACUCUGUUAUUAGGGAAGAACAUAUGUGUAAGUAACUGUGCACAUCUUGACGGUACCUAAUCAGAAAGCCACGGCUAACUACGUG
rnacentral:rRNA from 1 species